rnacentral:misc_RNA from 1 species
UCUCCGUUGGUGAACCAGCGGAGGGAUCAUUACAGGACUCGCAAGACUCCUACAACCCUGUGAACUUAAUUAUAACCACGUAGCUUCGGCGGGUGUCUCGAAGGGGGUUCUCCCUCCCCGAGACGAUAAACCAGCCGGCAGCCUACUAUACUCUGUCUCUUUGCGUUGGCAUCUCGAGUACAAUCAAACAAGUUAAAACUUUCAACAACGGAUCUCUUGGUUCUG